rnacentral:rRNA from 1 species
GAUGAACGCUGGCGGCGUGCCUAAUACAUGCAAGUCGAGCGAACAGACGAGGAGCUUGCUCCUCUGACGUUAGCGGCGGACGGGUGAGUAACACGUGGAUAACCUACCUAUAAGACUGGGAUAACUUCGGGAAACCGGAGCUAAUACCGGAUAAUAUAUUGAACCGCAUGGUUCAAUAGUGAAAGACGGUUUUUCUGUCACUUAUAGAUGGAUCCGCGCCGCAUUAGCUAGUUGGUAAGGUAACGGCUUACCAAGGCAACGAUGCGUAGCCGACCUGAGAGGGGGGCAGCCAACACGGGAGGGGAACAGGGCCCAAGAGGACUGAGGGAGGACGAAGAAGGAAACGGGAGGCAGGGGGGGAAAACAGUGCAGAAAAGGCGGGAGUGGGAAGUAAAGGCGUCGGGUGAGAAAAAACGGUUUAUGGGGAAAAAACAAAUGUGAAAGAAAAAAAAGCGGUAGUGACGGUACAUAAAAAAAAAGCAACGGCUAACUACGUG